CCUACGGGAGGCAGCAGUGGGGAAUUUUGGACAAUGGGCGCAAGCCUGAUCCAGCCAUACCGCGUGCGGGAAGAAGGCCUGCGGGUUGUAAAGCACUUUCAGUUGGGAAGAUAAUGACGUUACCAACAGAAGAAGCACCGGCUAACUCCGUGCCAGCAGCCGCGGUAAUAA
rnacentral:rRNA from 1 species